GUCCCUGAGGAGCGCUGCGACGAUAGCCGGCCAAGCCGGUUCGCCAGGCUCAGGAAUCCUUGUCCAGGCCGCGCCUUGCGCGCGGCCUUUGCAACGGCGCUCACCUUUG
rnacentral:ncRNA from 1 species